GACGAAUGACGCAAAACUUCAUAAACAGGGUUUUAUCAGCCAAAUUCGCAAAAAAAAAUUGGGUCGUUCUAAGCAAAUUCACAAUAAUCAAAGCAAAUAUGAUUACACUAGGUGAGAUUGAUGGUUAUAAUUGUGAUUCUUUAAAAAUUAAAGCAAAAAUAACAGUCACAGGAAAGAGGGUUACAAUUGUCACUCUUUAAAAAUUGGAUCUUGCACUUUGUUAAAAUAUUUCUCAAUAUAAAACAAUACGCUUAGGUGUAUGUGUAGUUUGAUUUGCAAGAGCAAAGAGUAUACUUGAAGAAAUAACACACAAAAAUUAUGAUGGUUAUUUAAUGUGGGCUAGUUUUUUGUUGUACAAGGCUAAAACAGAUAAGAAAAUUUCUGCCACAUCAUUUUGGAGGAGAUUUUUGAGGUUCAUUAGAGGAGACUCAUGUCGAAGAAAUUCAACAUCAGAAGAGGCACGAAGCUUUGCAAAAAAAUCUGCACAUUGAUUCUCUUCCCUAAGGGUGUGAUUAACCAUAACAUUUCCCUGCUCCAAUAACACUUUUAUAUCUUGGAUUAAAACAGAAUAAGCAUGAAACCUCAUUGGGGGGACCAUUGAGGAUGUUGAUACAAUGUAAAGCAUCAGAGUAGCAAACAAAAUCAAGAAUACCCAUAUAUUUGGCCAACAAGAGACCUUUAUAGAUAGCAUAGAGCUCAUCAUACAAGAUCAGAUGAAUUUUGAAUGUAUCCAGAAAAGCCUAACAAGAAAAAACCUGCAUAGUUUCUUAAAAUUCCUCCAUAGCCAGCUCUUACUGGAGAUCCAAGACAACUUCCAUCAACAUUAAGGUUGACACAAGAAUGAUUAUUGUUGGUCCACUUGAUGAAUUGUCUUCAUAGAUAGUAUUAGAGAUGGAAGUAUAACAAGCUUUGAGGGUAUCAACCAUGCCUUGAAUGUUGAAGGAUAAUUUAGCAUUUGACCAAUUCUCAUUGCCUAAGCACAUCAUGUUUCGAUUCCUCCAAGCCCACCAUAAUAUGGGCUAGUAUAGUCUUCGCAACUGUGAGAUUUCACUAUAGUAUUUAGAUAGAUGUUUUUUCUAUCAUGUGCAAUAGACAAUAAUUACAUCAAAGUUUCACCGGAAAUGAUACUGACAGCAAAACGGUUAACCAAUACCCAAACAACAAAAGGGGUUAUGGCACCAAUCAUGAAAAUUAUAAUAAAAUGUAACAGAAUAAGCUUUAGACAUGAGAAGAAAAGUAGCUUGAUAUUUUCCAAAAGCUGAGAUGGAGUGCUUUUUUUUUUUUUUUUUGCACGGAAAAUUCUAGCGUUCCCUUCCUUCCAAAUUAGUCAAGUGCUUGCAAACUUAAGUACAUAAAGGAGCACCGAGCUUUAGAGAUACCUGAAGAAAUAUUGAUCUGAAGAUAAUGAGCUGAUAUGGUUAAAGGGUUAACCGAAGAAACACCUAACCAAAGAUGAACCAACUG
rnacentral:lncRNA from 1 species